AAUGGGAGUGGAAGUGAAUAUCCUCUUCUUCACCAUUUUUUGAUGAAUUUCUGUAGCAGAAACAGCGCCACCUAUAGGCCUGGAAUAUGAAGUAGUGUGUUGAGUCAUUUACAAAUGAUCUUGAAACGAUGCCAGGGAAGACGGGGAA